ensembl:lncRNA
GACCUCACUGGGCACCACUUCCCUCAUAUUAAUUCAAUCUUUAAUUGAUAUUGAGAAGUUCUUUUUUCCUUUGAGUCUAACAAAUAACAAGCUCUGUGCUGAAAGUAAUAACCUCACCAGAGAGAAACAUAACUAAGAGAAGUGCCAUUGAAGCUGAGAGUCUACAAGUGAGAAAUGUGCAUGUAAGAUGUUUUUCAAAGUGACCUAGGUCCUACUGACCAGCUGGGAUACAGGAGUGGGCACAAGUAACUGCCAGGUUCUCUGUGAUAACCAACACCCUGAGAGCAGAGUGCUGCUACCCUGCCAUUCAGACCUGUGGGGCACCUUUCGGCUGAUGUCCUCGCUGCCCUGAGCCUGAGUCUUGGAGUUUCUUCCACUGUCUGGAGGCUAGAGCCACUGAGUGGCCUUUUGGGCUCCGUUUUUAUGCCACAGUCCUCUCAUAGUGCAUCUGUUAUCAGAAAUUUUUAAAUGCCAUACCAAGCCUAUGCUUAAUUUAAUCCAAUAAACCUCAACCAUGGAAUAUAUGUAACUGUCUUUCAUGCUGCCACUGAUAUGGAAGAAAUGAGCACUGGAGAACAGUUUACUCUUCUUGUCCAUAGACUUUGUAUAGUACAAACGCUCUAGCUGCUGAAGAGUGUACUCCAGUGUUCAACAUCAUGAGAGUUUGCCAUGAUACUUAGUACAGACGGCUGUCGACUCCGAAACUUCAUGUCUGUGGGAACCAGCAAACUCAUGUGAUGCCUCUCACCUUAACAAGGAUCACUUGUUAGAAUAUUUGCUUUUACUUCUGUACUGAGAAGUAAAAAGUCAUGUUUCUCAAGACAUGCAGCAAACGCAAUCAUGCUGAUACUUGAAGCUGAGGAGUUUCAUUUCCUCGAAACUCUUUUCUUUCCCCUGUCCUUGGAAAAGCAGAAAUGCAAUUAGGAAGUCAAAUUGUUGUUUAUUGGUUAUCUAUGGAAAGUUGGCACAUUGUUCACAUGAUCUUUAUUUUUGUCUUGAAAAGAGCUUAUGUGCUUCUUUGGCCUUGCUUGUGGUCUGGAAUGGAUCUCCGUAGCUCCUAUCUGUACUCUUUCAGAGUUGGUUUUUUUUUUUUUUUAAGUAUUAUAUGAAUAAUAAAUAUGUGUAUAGUGUUAGUUUCAAGUAAUUUCAGCUGAUAGGAUAAGAAGGGAUUAUCAAAUGACAUCUUAAUUAGAAAGUGGUUUUUGCAGUAAUUGGUGUGGGGCUGAAAGUUAUUGGUCAUAUCAGAGAGACACUUGCCAGAAAUGCAAGGAUGAGAGGCAGUGGCUGAGAAGUGACUGUGAACUGCCAAGAGACGCUGAGCAAAGCCGUGUAAGCAUAUUGAGAGGUGCAUGGAGAAAGCUAAACUAGAACAGGAAAAAAUCCAGCAAUAGAUGUGAAAGCGUAUAUGUUGUCCGUACAGCUGCAACUGAGAACGCAUCUUUUCAUGUCACCUGCACGUUUCUACCUUUUGGCGAAUGAAAGUUAGUAUUCAUUCAAUGUUUUUUUCACUACAGCUUCAGAAAUACAACUGUUCUUUGUGAGUCCUGAAAAUACCUGGGCUUGGCCAGAGAGAAUUGGUUUUUUGAGCAACUUUGGAUGGUUCAUUCUGUUACAUGUUCAAGGGAAAAACAGGUUAUGCGGCAUCACUUUUUGCUAUUUGGUUGAAACAAUCCGACAGAAGAAUUGCUUCUCUGUAUCUUUCUCAUCCUAAUUAAAAUUAUCAGUAGCAGAUCCAUAGUGUGUGCAUGAUGCCCAACAGCACAUCCUUGUAGAGAGGCAUACAUGUAAUGUGAAGCUCUAAAUGUGGGGGGAAAAAAAGAAAAAAAAAAAAAAAGAUUUUGGAAGAGGAAGUUUCUUCAAAAAGGAUUUAAGCUGUAAAUGGUCUAUUUGAACAGAUCAAAAUCUGAGUUCAGUGCAUUGUGAUUCUAGCAAGAAGCAUGCUCUGAGAUGUGCUGCUGGGAGCCAUCACGUUCAUUGUGCUCCUGACAUGUACAAAUAUACAAGAACCAGUACUUCUGAGGUUUCACAUCCUUCUACAGAGUAAUCAGAAGACACAGCAGGAGUUGUCUGAGCAGAGAUGGGGUACUGCGGAGUCAUAUGUUUCCCAUGGAAAUUAUUUGUGACUUCCCGCUCUUUAUUGCCAUUCAUCUUCAAAGUGAAUAAAAAACAACUCGUCUUGUGGGCAGGACAAUUACUUGCUCUGCACAAAGUUUUAUGUUGUUCCUAAUUCAAACUGGGUUUCCAAGGAGUAAAGUUAGCAGCACCAGAAGUGUGCAAUACUGAAGAUAAAUGACAUUUCUUCCUGGUUCUGCUAUACCCAGAGGGAAACCUCAAGCCCCAGCACAAACCUCCAUCUCAAGCAGAAUCAUUUAGGGAAUAAAAACUAAAUGUAUCAUCCUAGUGCUUGACUACAGUGCCAUUAAGACAUCUACUUCAUAUUUUUAUUUUAAAUCUCCAUGUUUUCUUUUUUCUAAUUGCAAACGCUCAAGUUCUCCAGCAAGAUGCAUUUCCUUCUGGGCCAGCCUUAGAGAGAAGUCUUAGAAAAAGAAAUAAAACUCUAAGCUGGUUCUAACACUGUGCUUUCUUCUUAUUUCUUUGGUUGCCCUCAGACAUCUCUGCCUGCUUUCAGAAUGCCAAACUUGCUGGAGUCAGACCCGAGGGGAAUAACGUGAACUCUGCUAACCCUGAUGCUGAGUCCAUCUUCCUCAUGCUGAACUCCUUAGCUCUUUGUGCCUCUGCUGGCAAGAUCCCAAGUAUAAUUUGUACUGUAAGAUGUCAGGAAAGGCUUGAAAAUUUUUAAUUUUUUUUUUACUAGCUACCAGAGCUUAAUGGGUUUCAUCACUCCCUUAAGCUGCAAACAGGAUGAAUUUACAUAUUUUACUUUUCUUUUGUCUUCCUACUUUUCACAGUGUUUUCAGUGGGGACGGUGUGGUGUAUUGCAGGGAAACUGCCUCUAUCUCUGUAUGAAAUACAUGCAAUCUCAUGAAGGAAGUCAGCUUGCAGGAACAAGAGGAAGGAAAUGCUUUUCCUGUUUCAUGUUAGCUCCAGAACCUUGGAAGCUCCCUUUGUGUUUAAUCUGACUGAGCAGCGGUUUGUAGGUAUGAAAAGAGAUGCGUGUGUUGCUAAUAUCUGAUAAUCUUUCCUCUUUGGUAGUUGAACUUGGGAUAAAAUCCUCGGCAUAGGUAUAUUAUUAAAAGGAUAAAUAGUAUGUUUUUCUUCCAGUCAUACAGUUUGCUGUAGAUCAAAAAUUGAAGAUAAAAGCACACAGGGUGAGAGAUAUUUCAAGCUUAUUUGCUUAUUUCAAGCGUUCUGCAUCUCAGCUAUUUUAUUGUUCCUUUCUAAAAAUAUUUGUUAUCCAGACUGAAAGCUUCACUUUGAGAUGGUAUAAAUGAUGUCUCAUCUGAAUGAGGCCAUGUAUGUGGCCACAAGUGCAGUAAACGUAGCAAGGUAUGCCUUGGAGGAAGUCAGGAUGGCUUCUGUGGCCCUAGAGGUCCUUGUAGGGACAUGUUCUGGUGGGACUGAGACCACAGCUUGCUUCCUUUAUCUCCUGGGUGGUUUCUUCUUUGUCAGGAUACUUAAAAUAAAUAAGUGGUAUGUGAAAAUGUAAAGGUAAAGCUGAAAAUCAUUAUAAACUGGAAGUAAUGAGAAUGCUACCAGAAGACAGUGCAUUACUCAAGAGUUGUUUUUUGUGGUUAGUCAGACUGGCUUUUCUCUGCACAGCUGUGGGGAUUACUAAGCAUGAAAGAUCCACUUAUGUAAACCAUCCAAGCCACAACAGUUUUGCUACGUCAGCUCUGUCAUUGGUUUAGGUGCUGAGAGCAGGAGAAAAGUGCUCUCACUUGUGGCUGGCACAAAGACCAGACAUGUCUGAAGCAACUUUUAAGGGGUAAAAAUCAAAUUAUUUUGAUUUGGGGAACGUGCUCUUGGGAUUUAGGCAAAGUUUAGCAUGUUCUUCAGCUUUUAUUUACUGUAAGUCAUCUCACAUGGCAAAAUAUGUAUUUUAGAACCAUGUGUGAGAAACUAAAAACUACAAAAUACUAAACUGUUCUCUAGUGUCACUGUCUAGUGACAUGCUAGCUUCCCUGAUGAUGCAGAAAGGUGAUAUCAAACCAUAUAUGAUUUCUCUGCCAUGCAGCAAGAGUCCUUAUCUUUUGGUGGCAAGCUCGCAUUUGAGCUUGUGGAUGCUCAGACACAAGGAUAUGAGCCCUCUCUUUCAGUUAGAUGUUUGGGGUUUCCUGCUGCAUUUACAGGCUUUAGCUCCUUGUUCAGGAACUACUGUAGCAGAUAACCGUUUGUGCCGUGCAAGUGUGUUUGAUUACACUGGUGUCGUUAGGAGACAAUGCAGCCCAGAAACAUGAGGUAAUCUCUGACUUUUAUUGAGUAGGGUAACUGGCUUUAGAUGCUGUCACAUCAUGAUAUGUUCUGUACGCAUAGAAAUAGACGGGUAUAUUUAUAAUGGAAAAUGUGGAAAAGUAUCUAUUGAUAGCACCUCUGCUUUAAAGCGGUACAUUCUUUUAAGCCAUGGAACCUUAGGAAAUACAGUGUACAAAUAAUUACAUUCCUAAUUACUCAUUCCUUGAGUUGUUCAUAUAGACUGCAGGCCCGAAGCUAGAAAGAUUAUGUAUGUAUUUCGUCAGGUAAUGUUCCUUUUUUUUCAGCAGAAGGGUACUGUCUGCUGAACUUUUCCAUGGGGUUGACCUCAUGGGCUCCAGUGGGAUUAUCCUAAUUUUAAAGAUGGAUGUGUGCUCAAGUAGCUGAAUUGCUGUCCAAGGAAGCUCUUCUAAUUUCAAUUUAAUUUUAUUUUAUCUUUUGUAG